AGAGUUUGAUCAUGGCUCAGAAUGAACGCUAGCGGCGUGCUUAACACAUGCAAGUCGUACGAGAACUCUUUAGCUUGCUAAAGAUAGUAAAGUGGCGCACGGGUGAGUAACGCGUGGGUAAUCUACCUCUGAAUUUGGGAUAACUCCGCGAAAGCGGGGCUAAUACCGGAUAAUAUUUCAGGAUCUUUGGGUCUUGAAAUCAAAAGUGGCCUCUACAUGUAAGCUACUGUUUGGAGAUGAGCCCGCGUACCAUUAGCUUGUUGGUAGGGUAAUGGCCUACCAAGGCUACGAUGGUUAGCUGGUCUGAGAGGAUGAUCAGCCACACUGGAACUGACACACGGUCCAGACUCCUACGGGAGGCAGC
rnacentral:rRNA from 1 species